rnacentral:rRNA from 1 species
AUGGCAUCCUCGAGCUCCAAAGUCGUCUGGGACAACCUCGCAUCCGAGCAGAAAAAGGAGAUCGCCACCAUUGCAGCAAGCUGGCAGGCCGGCAGGCAGACGGAGGGGAGCGCCGCAUAUGUCCCAACGGAGGACGCGGCCAAGGACGAGCCGGUGCCACCCUCCUCGUCGUUCCAUGCCGGCACCACCAUGGGCGAGGCUCGUGCUCACUACACCGACAUGUGCACGGAGGAGCUUCUCGCCGCCGGCACGACCAUAGUGUCGGACGCGGACGUGGCCGAGCAGGAGGCGCUGGCCGACUCCUACCGCAUCGCCCGUGAAAUCCGCCGCGACCGCUGGCGGUACAUCCAGAAGAAGGAGUGUGUGGGUGAAAGGAUAAGUGGAGGAGGGCCACCGUGGGCCCACGAGGCAGGGGGCGCACCCAGGGGGGUAGGGCGCACCCUCCACCCUCGUGGUUAG